UGGGGAAUAUUGCACAAUGGAGGGAACUCUGAUGCAGCGACGCCGCGUGAGUGAUGAAGGAAUUCGUUUCGUAAAACUCUGUUCUAUGGGAAGAAAAGGACUGUACCAUAGGAGAAAGCUCCGGCUAAAUACGUGCCAGCAGCCGCGGUAAUACGUAUGGAGCGAGCGUUGUCCGGAAUUAUUGGGCGUAAAGGUUGCGCAGGCGGCUUUACAAGUUGGAUGUGAAAUAUUGUGGCUCAACCACAAACGUGCAUCCAAAACUGCAAAGCUUAAGUUAAGGAGGGGUAAGUGGAAUUCCGGGUGUAGCGGUGGAAUGCGUAGAUAUCAGGAGGAAUACCGGUGGCGAAGGCGACUUACUGGACUUAAACUGACGCUCAGGCACCAAAGCGUGGGGAGCAAACAGG
rnacentral:rRNA from 1 species